UGCCAGCAGCCGCGGUAAUACUGAAGGUGCAAGCGUUAAUCGGAAUCACUGGGCGUAAAGCGCUCGUAGGUGGCUUUGUAAGUCAGAUGUGAAAGCCCACGGCUCAACCGUGGAAUUGCAUUUGAUACUGCAUCGCUAGAGUAUAGGAGAGGGAAGUGGAAUUUCUGGUGUAGGAGUGAAAUCCGUAGAGAUCAGAAGGAACACCGGUGGCGAAGGCGACUUCCUGGACUAUUACUGACACUGAGAAGCCUAAGCGUGUGGGUCAAGCAGGGUUAGAUG
rnacentral:rRNA from 1 species